CGGAUGCAUGCUGUUGCUGGUGGAGUUGGAGCACGCCGGCGCUCCGGCCGCCCUCUUCCUCCCUGUUCCCUCCCAUCCCUCCUACUACAGCCAGGGCUGUAGCCGCCCUCUUCUCUCCCCGUACCCCUCUUCCUCCCUGUUCCUUCCCACCCCUUCUCCCGCAGGCUCCAGCUGUGGUGGUGGGGGUGAGCAGCUGCCGUCCGGUGGCCUGGGGAGUGAGGAGGGCGCCGUUCUAAAGCACGAGAGCUCGGCGCAUGGCGACAGUAUAGAUCGGCUACAGCGGCGGCGACGGCCCAACGGCGAAAGGGGAUGGCUGCAUGAUGAUCUUGUUCUGAUCAAUUCUGAAAUAUGAAUGGAGGACUACUAUGGGUCGCUGUUGAGGAUGCUGGGUUACCUGACAGUAGUUUACUUGCCAGAUUUUAGAUUGGAGCUUAGCAUGAACUGAAGAGAGGAUACUUCAACAUGUAUGUGCUGAAAGGCAAAUUAAUUUGGAAGUUUAUUGUAACUGGUACACAGUAUUGGCAUUAAAAGCGCGAGCGCUGUGAGGGAAGCCAAGCAAGUUCCUGCUAGAUCGUGAAGAAAUACACUUUGUCUUAUGAGAUCAUCCUGAUUGUCAUCAAAAGCAAAGGUCCCUAAACAAGCAAAUUGCAUUUAUGUGCUCUGACAUCUUCGUGUUACUUUUAGUGGAAAGCAGUACAAAGUGUCAAUUUCACAUGCCAAUACUAAUUAUUCACCUAGCUUAUGCAAAUUAUCCAGCAUUUUCCGUUCAGAUAUGAUCUGCUGCAAACACCAUAAGUCACCACUCACCAGCACAUGACCGUUCCCUCUAGAACUUUGACCGUCGUGUCAUUUGAUGGAGAAAGAACAAGAUGGCCGAGCGACAAACUGAACAACGCCGGAAAGCUGCAACAAACGAGUGGUGGCAGCGCAUACACUUGUUGAGCUGUGGAGGCACCCAUUAGCCACCCACCCACCCAUGGAACAGAGAUUGAUAUAUUGAAGUUUGUAAUGGCUAAUGGCCAAACAUAUGAAUCUGUUCUUGAUACUCCUUUUCCCUUUUCUUAAUAUCAUCACAUAAAAAUUAGAAGCUUUCUAACAUAUGCAUAUUUCAGGUUUCAGAAGAGGUAGAGAAAGAGUUGUUCAGACAAUUCAGUGCAGAAGCAACACCUCCAAGGUGAGAAAUAUGUUUCUGUUUAGCCUUCUUUGCUAGCUGUGUUCCUCUGUUUUUUUUACUGAACUGUGCUCCUCUGUUUGGAUGAUUAUUGGAGAGAAAGAGAGAUGAUAUGGAGACCACGAGUAUGUGUGUAUGGAUCGGGGAGUGGUAGAUUUUGGGCCAAAUACAUUAUAACCGGCAACCAACUUGAUAAACAGAUUCAUUACCCUCUCCUUUGAAAUGAAUUUUUGCUUGGAACAUUUCUUAUUUCUUUAUCUGUUAGUGCUUGAUUCUAUCUCUGCUCUGUCUGAGGCCAUCGGCGCCGAUGUGACCGAGGUGGAGGCGACCAGCAAGAGGGAGGCUAGCGCGACCAAUUUCCUCGAGCUGUUCAACUUAUUAGUCCUUGCAAUUCCAAAUUCACAUAGGUAUGUAGGCUGUAACGGCACCGCUGUAGCCAUCGCUGCCUUCUCCAAUCCUUGGUAGCAGAUUAAUGCAUAGUAGGUGAGUGCUUCAGGCUGUAGAUUUGGCUCGCUUCCUGAGUACCUCAUGUCUCAUGUGGUUAAAGCUAUGCGAGUAAUUAUGAAGGCUUGAUCACCAGGAAACAUCCAUGUCAAUUAUGUGUUUGCUGAAUUUCCUUAAGCAUAUGGGAUUCAGUUGUUUGAUGAAUUGCCCCCAAAUGGUUUUGAUGAAUUUCCUUAAGUAGGCUUCUUUUCAUAGUUAAUUUCAGUAGAUCUUGCUUUAUCUGUACACAUGAAUGUAAGGAUCUGUACAAUUUGUUGAUGGUUUGGCAAGUAAUGUAAAUCUUCCAAUUGACGAUUCUCUAGGAUUCUAUAGUCUAAGUUUCUCUCUUUCCAUCCCUGUAGGGUUAUCCUGGUUUCGUUAGCGUCAUAACUCUCAGUGAAUAUAAGUCCAUUGUUUCCUUUUUAUUGGUAUGUGAGAAAAGUGGAUGUGCAUGCCUCCAUUCAAACAAAGACUGAAUCUUACUGUAAAGCAAAUUCAAACCCAUUGAGACUAGCUUUUCCAAGACUUAAAUUAUUGAGAGUGUCACUUUCAUACAUCAUGAUUGGUGCUACAGUUAUACUUAACAUACAAAAACAUUCAUAUCUUGCUGGAAGCUGUGCUUCUCUACUUUAUACAUGUUUUUUGAUGUGCAAUGCUGCCACUUACUACAUUGCCUGCCACAUGCUCCGACGAAUGUCUCAGUUAUGUAGCGAAUAACGUGAUUUGAACAAAAUUAUUACGAGCUUUGCUAUUUUCACACGGAUGGGUUCAUGGAUUAAGGUUUCCUAUUUUUCCUUUGUAUUGUCAUGGCCACAAAACUGCUAUUAGUUACUUACACAUUUAAACUCAUUUCUACUCAUAAUGCGUACAUUACUUGGAGAAGGAACUGCCUUCCAAGCUAAACGAUUUCUGUCUUACAGACAUCCAAAAAAUCUUCAACCCUCAUUGUAUAUAAUAUAUUAUAAAUCUUCAACUCUCACUGUAUAAUUAUUUUGCGGGGUAACUCUCAUUGUAUAAUAAAAUUAUAUAUCUUCAACCUCAAUGUAUAAUAAAAUUACAAUCUUCAGGGUUCUGUAAUGUUCUUUUAGAGCACGUGAAACGCGUGCCAUAUUUUCAUAGAAGGCUAAUGGUUGACAAUCCAUAUUUUGUGCUCUUAUAUUUGGUUUCAUUUGAUUGUUGAAAUAUAAGUACACUAUAAACCUAACUAUAGGUACUAAACCUAGCCCAUGCUUGAUUAUAAGUUUAUAACACACAUUAUUACUAUUGAAAGCUAUAUUAAAUCCUAAAUUUGACUCUUCUGAUAAUGAAAUGAAGGUGAGGAAUGUCAUCUUUCUUUGGCAGAAGAAAUUAUGUUUCAGUUUUGAUUUUAUUUUUUAAUGUUCUAUAUGUAUUUUUAUUCUUAUGCUUGAUUUAAAAAGAACAUCUGAUCAGAAAUGCUUAUAUCUUAACUUAAUCGACAAAUCAAAGAACACAUUCAUUUCUAAGCCGUUUUCCAAAGAUUGGCUAGCUGAAAUCACAAUUCUCCUUCAUGUUAUUCCUGAACACACAUUCCCAUCGCUUUGCAUAUUGGAUUGGGAUGU